rnacentral:rRNA from 1 species
AUUAGCGGCGGACGGGUGAGUAACACGUGAGUAACCUGCCUUAGACAUUGGGAUAGCCUCGGGAAACCGGGAUUAAUACCAAAUAAGAUCAUAAUGACACAUGUCAUAACGAUCAAAACUCCGGUGGUCUAAGAUGGACUCGCGUCCCAUUAGCUAGUUGGUAGAGUAAAAGCCUACCAAGGCGACGAUGGGUAGCCGGCCUGAGAGGGUGAACGGCCACAUUGGAACUGAGAAACGGUCCAA